rnacentral:lncRNA from 1 species
AAUCAUUAUAAUGAAGAAAAAAACACAUGAUCAUCUCAGUUGGUGCAGGAAAAAGCAUUUGGCACAUUUCAAGUCACUUUCACUCACCCAACUAGGGACAGAAGAAAAGUACUCAACAUAAAAAAACUUUAUGUGAAAAGCAAGCUAGCCUGCUACCAGUGGGGAAAUUCUGAAAACUUUUCCUGCAAGAUCAGGAAUAAGACAAAGAUUUCUAAUCAACACAGUCCUGGAAGUUCUAACAAGAGCCAUUAGGAAAUGUAAAGAAAAGCAUUUGAAUUGGAAAAGAAGCAGUAGAGUUAUCUGUUUUUGCAGAUGAUGUGAUUUUUAUAUGUAGAAACCCUAAAGAUCCCCUUGUCCUCUCUCCCUCUCUCUCAUGUGAAAUCAACACACAGUGAAAUCAACUAAUUGAGCAAAGUUGCAAGAUACAAAAUCAACACACAAAAGUCAAGUUGCAUUUCUAUAUAUGAACAAUGAGAAAUCAGAGAAGGAAAUCAAGAAAACAAUUCCAUUUAAUGGAACACUGAAAAGAACAGAAUACUUAAGAUGCCAGUAUUGGGCUGGGGAUGUGACUCAGGGGCAGAGCAC